rnacentral:rRNA from 1 species
GACGAACCGUAUGAACGUUAUUCGGAAUCACUGGGCUUAAAGGGUGCGUAGGCGGCGCGACAAGUUGGGUGUGAAAUCCCUCGGCUCAACCGAGGAACUGCGCCCAAAACUGUCGUGCUCGAGGGAGACAGAGGUGAGCGGAACUUAGGGUGGAGCGGUGAAAUGCGUUGAUAUCCUAAGGAACACCGGUGGCGAAAGCGGCUCACUGGGUCUCUUCUGACGCUGAGGCACGAAAGCGUGGGGAGCAAACAGG